ensembl:lncRNA
CAAAAACCGGGACUGUCUGGUCACCAUCAUCGCGCUAGAGUCUGCAGCGCGAGCUCGAUUGUGCGUGAAUUGAAUCUGAGUUGCUAUAGCAACCCGUAGAUUCCAUCUGCAGCUAUAAAAGCCUGAAGUCCCAGGGUUCUGAUUGUUGGGUGUUUGAAGGCGAGACUCUCGAGACAGACUUUGAUGAGCGCAGAAAGAGAGAUUUUUAGGAUAUUUUUGAUGGCUCAGUUCGGCGAAAGACGAGCUGCGGGCCGCUCCAGAUCCACUGCUGCUUUAACCCAGAUGGCUGCUGGUCAGGAGGCUGGGAGACAGUGUGGAGACCACAUUCAGAAAGCACUGUCCACCCCGACCUGGCCGUGGAGUCCAGAGCUGCCUGGCUAUAUCUCUCCUCUGCCUUCUGAGUCGACUCAAAGGAAGAGGAAGAGGCGGAGCUCGGAGGAUGAAGAUCCCUGCACCUCAGACGAGAGACCCGCCAAACGCUCUGCUGAA